rnacentral:rRNA from 1 species
GCGCGCAGCUCCAGCAAAUCAAACGCGGCGCGGAAUUUGGGAUGUUCCAUCAGUUUCCAGGCGCGUUUGCCCUGACGACGGGACAUGCGUAACUGAAGCUGCCAAAUAUCACGGGUAAGC